CAUAGGUUAAUGAGGCGAACCGGGGGAACUGAAACAUCUAAGUACCCCGAGGAAAAGAAAUCAACCGAGAUUCCCCCAGUAGCGGCGAGCGAACGGGGAGCAGCCCAGAGCCUGAAUCAGUGUGUGUGUUAGUGGAAGCGUCUGGAAAGGCGCGCGAUACAGGGUGACAGCCCCGUACACAAAAAUGCACAUACUGUGAGCUCGAUGAGUAGGGCGGGACACGUGGUAUCCUGUCUGAAUAUGGGGGGACCAUCCUCCAAGGCUAAAUACUCCUGACUGACCGAUAGUGAACCAGUACCGUGAGGGAAAGGCGAAAAGAACCCCGGCGAGGGGAGUGAAAAAGAACCUGAAACCGUGUACGUACAAGCAGUGGGAGCCUCUUUAUGGGGUGACUGCGUACCUUUUGUAUAAUGGGUCAGCGACUUAUAUUCUGUAGCAAGGUUAACCGAAUAGGGGAGCCGAAGGGAAACCGAGUCUUAACUGGGCGUUAAGUUGCAGGGUAUAGACCCGAAACCCGGUGAUCUAGCCAUGGGCAGGUUGAAGGUUGGGUAACACUAACUGGAGGACCGAACCGACUAAUGUUGAAAAAUUAGCGGAUGACUUGUGGCUGGGGGUGAAAGGCCAAUCAAACCGGGAGAUAGCUGGUUCUCCCCGAAAGCUAUUUAGGUAGCGCCUCGUGAAUUCAUCUCCGGGGGUAGAGCACUGUUUCGGCAAGGGGGUCAUCCCGACUUACCAACCCGAUGCAAACUGCGAAUACCGGAGAAUGUUAUCACGGGAGACACACGGCGGGUGCUAACGUCCGUCGUGAAGAGGGAAACAACCCAGACCGCCAGCUAAGGUCCCAAAGUCAUGGUUAAGUGGGAAACGAUGUGGGAAGGCCCAGACAGCCAGGAUGUUGGCUUAGAAGCAGCCAUCAUUUAAAGAAAGCGUAAUAGCUCACUGGUCGAGUCGGCCUGCGCGGAAGAUGUAACGGGGCUAAACCAUGCACCGAAGCUGCGGCAGCGACACUAUGUGUUGUUGGGUAGGGGAGCGUUCUGUAA
rnacentral:rRNA from 1 species